CCUACGGGGGGCAGCAGUCGGGAAUAUUGCGCAAUGGAGGAAACUCUGACGCAGUGACGCCGCGUAUAGGAAGAAGGUUUUCGGAUUGUAAACUAUUGUCGUUAGGGAAGAUACAAGACAGUACCUAAGGAGGAAGCCCCGGCUAACUAUGUGCCAGCAGCCGCGGUAAUACGUAGGGGGCAAGCGUUAUCCGGAUUUACUGGGUGUAAAGGGAGCGUAGACGGUUAUGCAAGUCUGAAGUGAAAGCCCAAGGCUCAACCAUGGGACUGCUUUGGAAACUGUAAAACUGGAGUGCAGGAGAGGUA
rnacentral:rRNA from 1 species